AACAACUAACAUCACUGCCAAG
rnacentral:miRNA from 2 species